GGUGUGAUGAGGUGUGAUGUUAGACAGCAUGUAUGGUGUGAUGAGGUGUGAUGUUUGACAGCAUGUAUGGUGAGAUGAGGUGUGAUGUUAGUAAGCAUGUAUGGUGUGAUGAGGUGUGAUGUUAGUAAGCAUGUAUGGUGUGAUGAGGUGUGAUG